GAUGAACGCUGGCGGCGUGCCUAAUACAUGCAAGUCGAGCGAACGGACGAGAAGCUUGCUUCUCUGAUGUUAGCGGCGGACGGGUGAGUAACACGUGGAUAACCUACCUAUAAGACUGGGAUAACUUCGGGAAACCGUAGCUAAUACCGGAUAAUAUUUUGAACCGCAUGGUUCAAAAGUGAAAGACGGUCUUGCUGUCACUUAUAGAUGGAUCCGCGCUGCAUUAGCUAGUUGGUAAGGUAACGGCUUACCAAGGCAACGAUGCAUAGCCGACCUGAGAGGGUGAUCGGCCACACUGGAACUGAGACACGGUCCAGACUCCUACGGGAGGCAGCAGUAGGGAAUCUUCCGCAAUGGGCGAAAGCCUGACGGAGCAACGCCGCGUGAGUGAUGAAGGUCUUCGGAUCGUAAAACUCUGUUAUUAGGGAAGAACAUAUGUGUAAGUAACUGUGCACAUCCUGACGGUACCUAAUCAGAAAGCCACUGCUAACUACGUG
rnacentral:rRNA from 1 species